rnacentral:precursor_RNA from 12 species
GAAUGCAUAUUGCUGUUGACAGUGAGCGGCUGUAAACAUCCUCGACUGGAAGCUGUGAAGCAGCAGAUGGGGCUUUCAGUCGGAUGUUUGCAGCUGCCGACUGCCUCAGACUUCAAGGAGUGUU